UGGUGUUAGACAGCUCUUUUAGAAUAUGUCUAGCAGGUUUUUCAGUUUUCACCAGAAUGCCCAC
ensembl:snRNA U7 U7 small nuclear RNA